GAUGAACGCUAGCGGCAGGCCUAAUACAUGCAAGACGAACGGUAAGCUUUGUAGCAAUACGGAGCCUAGAGUGUCGUAAGGGUGCGUAACACGUAUGCAAUCUACCCUGUACAGGAGUAUAGCUCCCCGAAAGGGGAAUUAACCCUCCAUAAUAUGAUGAACCGGCAUCGGUUUAUUAUUAAAACUGAGGUGGUACAGGAUGAGCAUGCGUCUGACUAGCUAGUUGGUAGUGUAAUGGACUACCAAGGCAAUGAUCAGUAGGGGAACUGAGAGGUUGAUCCCCCACACUGGCACUGAGAUACGGGCCAGACUCCUACGGGAGGCAGCAGUAGGGAAUAUUGGACAAUGGGUGAGAGCCUGAUCCAGCCAUGCCGCGUGCAGGAAGAAAGGGCCCUUUCUGGGUUGUAAAACUGCUUUUAUCUGGGGGAUAAAAAAGGCCUUGCGAGGCAAAACUGAAGGUACCAGAUGAAUAAAGCCAACGGCUAACUACGUGCCAGCA
rnacentral:rRNA from 1 species